UACGUAGGGUGCGAGCGUUGUCCGGAAUUACUGGGCGUAAAGAGCUCGUAGGUGGUUUGUCGCGUUGUUCGUGAAAACUCACAGCUUAACUGUGGGCGUGCGGGCGAUACGGGCAGACUGGAGUACUGCAGGGGAGACUGGAAUUCCUGGUGUAGCGGUGGAAUGCGCAGAUAGUCAGGGAGGAACACCCGGUGGCGAAGGCGGGUCUCUGGGCAGUAAACUG
rnacentral:rRNA from 1 species